rnacentral:rRNA from 1 species
GAUGAACGCUGGCGGCGUGCCUAAUACAUGCAAGUCGAGCGAAUGGAUUAAGAGCUUGCUCUUAUGAAGUUAGCGGCGGACGGGUGAGUAACACGUGGGUAACCUGCCCAUAAGACUGGGAUAACUCCGGGAAACCGGGGCUAAUACCGGAUAACAUUUUGAACCGCAUGGUUCGAAAUUGAACGGCGGCAACGGCUGUCACUUAUGGAUGGACCCGCGUCGCAUUAGCUAGUUGGUGAGGUAACGGCUCACCAAGGCAACGAUGCGUAGACGACCUGAGAGGGUGAUCGGCCACACUGGGACUGAGACACGGCCCAGACUCCUACGGGAGGCAGCAGUAGGGAAUCUUCCGCAAUGGACGAAAGUCUGACGGAGCAACGUCGCGUGAGUGAUGAAGGCUUUCGGGUCGUAAAACUCUGUUGUUAGGGAAGAACAAGUGCUAGUUGAAUAAGCUAACACCUUGACGGUACCUAACCAGAAAGCCACGGUUAACUACGUGCCAGCCGCCGCAGUAA